rnacentral:lncRNA from 1 species
ACUUCCGGGGUCGCAAAGUUUUUGACGCUAGAUGUGUUUUGUGAGUUUUAGCCAUUCAAGAAAAUAGUAAAGCUGAGGCUUGAGGAAACUUUAGGCAGUUUGCCCAGCUGUAUAAAGAGUGAGAUGAUGAGUUUGGGCACUCCUUGCGCAUCUAUGUGCCCAGCCCUCAAAAUAAUGGAACAACAACAAAAACCGUGCCUGGAUUAGUUUACGUUUUACUUGAGGGAAACCUAAAAUGAGCAUACAAAUAAAUUAUGGUGAGCUACAGAGUAAGACAUGGUAUGGAAAAAAAAUAGAACAGGAUAAAAGAAGAUGAAGAGACAUUCAUCUUUUUGAGACGGAGCCUUGCUUUAAUGCCCAGGCUGGAGUGCAGUGGCACGAUCUCCGAUCACUGCAAACUCCUCCUCCUGAGUAGCUGGGACUACAAACACGUGCCACCAUGCCCGGCUAAUUUUUGUAUUUUUGCAGAGAUGGAGUUUCACCAUGUUGGCCAGGCUGGUCUUGUACUCUUGAUUUCAGGUGAUCUGUCCGCCCUGGACUCCCAAAGUACGUUGCAAUUUUAAAUAGGAUUCUCAGAGUAGGCUUCAUUGAAAACGUUACAUUGAGCCAAGGUUUGAAGGAGGUAAUGGGCUAAACUAGUUAUCUGAGGGAAGAGCUGUUAAUCUGAGAAAAGCUGGUUAUCAAGGAGAAAAGCUGUCCUGGCAAAGCAAACAGCCAGCUCCAAUGCUCCUAGUCAGUAGCAAGCCAGGAAAGGCAAGAAGUGUUGAGAUUGGACAGGUGGUGUAGAGUUUUGUAAGGACUUUGGCUUUUAUUUUAUGUGAGAUGAAGAUCUCUUAUAGAAUUUUGAGGAAAAGAAUGGUAUGAUCUUAACAUCUUAAAAGUAUCAGGCUGGUGCAGUGGCCCAUGCCUGUAAUUUUAGCACUUUGGGAGGCCAAGGCAGGAGGAUUGCUUGAGCCUGGGAGUUCAAGACCAGCUUUGGCAACACUGUGAGACCCCAUGUCUACAAAAAGUAAAAAAAUAUAUAUAUCUGUUUGGGCAUGGUGUACAUCUGUGGUCCCAGCUACUCAGGAGGCUGAGGCAGUAGGAUCCAUUGAGCCUGGAAGGCUAGGUUGCAAUGAGCCAUGUUGGUGCCACUGCAUUCCAGCCUGGGUGAGAGGGUGAGACCCUCUCAAAAAAAUAAAUAAAAAUAAAGUAAAAGCGUCAUUCAGAAUCUUCUUUUGAGAAGAGCCUAUGCAGGGGCAGGGUGUGUGGAAGAAGGGAAGAAAUGAUAGUGGCCUGAACCAGGGUAAGUCUUGUGUAGGUGGUUGAGAAGUGAUUCCUCUGGAAGGUAAAGUUACUGAUGGAACUGAAGGGAGGACAUGAAAGAGUCAAGGAUGACUCCAAGACUUUCGACCUGAGUGAUUCAAAGGAUGGAGUUACCAUCAGGUGAAAUGCGGGAAAGUUCAGAUGGAACAAAUCUGAGAGGCGUUUUACUUUUUUCAGGAGACCCUAAACUUGGCCAUGAUGGUAAAGGAUGCAAGGACAAUCCUCCAAAUAUUUUCCAGGUAGCUUGAUUGCUACCAACAAGGUGAGCCAUUUAGAUAAAUGGGAAUUUUUAUGCCUGUUAAUAUUUCCAGAAAGUGCAUAGUUCCACACGAGUCUUCUCAGUUGAUCCAAAUUUCUGAGCAGAGAAAGAGCAGGGCAACAAUCACAUUGCAGUUUCACUAAAAUAUCAUCUCUUAAAAGAAUUUCUGGUUGUAUGAGUCCAUCAAAGGAGCUUCUAUUUAUAUCUUUGGAAUGUGUAUGGUGCCUCUGGCUGGUGUUUCUGACUAUAGGACUAUAGAUCAACCAUAAAUAUAAUUUAAAUAUCAAUCUGGAAUGGCUUUUUGGUGUCUAAGUAUUUAUUUUGUUGAUUUAUUCAUUAAGCAAAUAUUUCAGUCAUUCUUGUCCUCUGGAUGUAGCAGUCAAAAAGACACCACUCCCUGCCCCUGAGGAAUUCCAGUACACUAGCAAGUGCAAAAAAGAGGUUAUUUAACUGCCAUCUUGUUGUAUAAUCAAGAACAAAUUUAGAAUUACAACUUCCUAGUGCCUUCUUCAAAGAGCCAGAGUAGGUAUAUUUGUAAGUUCCUUUUUGGUAGUUCAGUUAUAUAUUUUCCACAGAAAUUCACCUAUGUGUAGUGAUUAGAUUAUCCAGUCCAGAGACACAAAUAUUUAAAACACAAGGUAAUAAAGCAUAGUCCUUAGCUUAGUCUAGUAGUCCUCAAAUUUUUUGUCUUAUAACCUCCGCACAUUAUUAAAAAUUAUUGAGGACACCCAAAGAGCUUUUGUUUGUGUGGGUUAUAUCUGUUAAUAUUUGCCAUGUAGACCUUAAAACUGAGAAAAAAUUAAAU